rnacentral:lncRNA from 13 species
UUUGUUUGUACGCUGCUCUUGGGGCAGAGAUAAUGGGACUGAUCCAAAGCCAGCUCCAAAGCAAUCACAAGUCUUUCCUUUGUCUUCAGUGGGGUUUGGAUCAGGCCCAAAGCUCAUAAGCAGUUUUCCACCAAGAGUUCCCAGCACUUAUGUGAGUCACUGGCAACAAGGGAAGGGAUAAAUCCAGCAUCGGCUGCUUCAGAUGCCAGGCACAUUCUGUGUGUGUGUGUGUGUGUGUGUCACAGGGGUGGAUAUAAACUCACACAGUCCGGCUGGGUUCCUGCUAAACUGCAUGACAGCUUGCAAAGGGCAGGCAGCUAUGGGGCUGCUUCCAGGACCGACCUCGAAAGAUUUCAGUCGGAAAAGAGCUGGGAUGUUCUUGGCAGUGACCAAGAAAACUUUUCUUGAGAGCAGCUGCCUGGGCACAGGGAAGGAGCUAGGAUGGCCGCCCGGUCAGGCUGGCACAGAGAGGGGCGCAAUUCCGGGGCUCAGACGGAGAGGAAGGAGCGGCUACGGAGGUGGGUCCCGGUUCCUUUGAAGAGGAGUGGGGGAAAGCAGGCGGCGGCUUUGCUCGGCUCGCUGCUCCGCGGACAGGUGAAGAAGAAAAAGGUGUGUGUGGGGGUGUGGGUGUGUAAUAGCAAAAAAAAAAAAAAAAAAACAAACACGAAAGGGAGCCCCGACGGCUCAUCCUCGCCCCGGUCCGUCCCGCGGCGCCGCGCGGUCCCGCGGCACCCCCUGCGCUCCGCCAAGGGAAGUGCACCAGCCCCGCAGGAAAAAAAAGAAAUCGUUACUAAAAAAUUAAAAAAAAAAAAAAACAAACCAAACAAAAAACCAAACAAAAAAGCCCAAACAACAAAAAACACACCAGCAGAGAAAACAAACAUCUCGCUGCAUUAGCUCAGAGGAGCCGGAUCCUGCGGGACUUGCUCAAGCGCAUCGCCCGGUUCAUGAGCACAGUGCCCGGAGGUAGCUGCAGGUUUCGGAAGGAGGGGAGGAAGGAAGGGGGGGUUGUUUGCCGUGUCCCCCCCGCCCCGGUGCAGGUGCACGCGGGAAGGUGGCCCCCGCGGUGGCACCACGAGAUGUCCCAAACGGGGUGGUCCCCGGCGGAGGAGGUGGCUGUGCCCUCCCGGCGGAGCGCUAAGGCGCCGGCAUCGCCAGGCACUUCUAAUUAGCAAAGAAACAUGUUGAUCAUUAGUGAGCAACAAACCUCCAAGCCAGGCAGGCUCUCCCCGGAACCGGGCUGCGGGGCCGAGGGCUGAGUCCUGCCGCCGUCCCGAGCCGCUUCCCGGCCGCCGGGCGCUCCGGCCCCAUCACCUGGCUCACAGCUGCGGCUCUCCUACACUGCUUUCUUGCUUUAUAGUUCUUUUUUCUGUCCCCGCGUAGGGUUGAGGUAGUCGAGGGGAAAUCCGCCUCAUCCCGGAGUCCCCCUCAACACCCCGACCCUUCCCACCGCUAACUGUCCUUUUCGUAAUUUCUUUUUUUCUCCCCGCUCAUUCUUUUUUAGCAUCUCUCAGUCUUCCUCCAUCUUUCGAUUCAGCAACCCCCGCACGCCGCUUGUAGCUUCUCCAUCCUCCCUCCAGCGACCCCUCCUCUCCCACUCCCGUGGGAGAGCAGAGCCGCGCAGCUCUUCACGGGCUGCAUCCCGAAGGGCUUUUUUACACAAUCACAUCGGCCGAUGCAAAAUCAUCUUAGGGCUGGCUGCUUGUACCGAACCAAACCAGCUUUCCCCACCUCCGUCCUCGACUGAUUUUUACUGAAAACAACGAGUGGCUUUGGACCGGGCUGGCUCAGCCGGGAGAGGCUGUUUCGGUCCGUUUCGCUGCGAUUUUUAAUUUUUUUUUUUUUUUUUUUUUUGCUUGCUUGUUUGUUUGUUAGUUUGUUUUGUAGUUGCGUCUUUAUUUAAAUUUUUCUGCAGAGGUUUCUAUGUAGAUACCGGCUCUUCCUUCUGAGAACAAGCGGGUAGAACACAAGGUUUUUAGUCCCGUACCGGGGCGAUUGUGCCAGGGGCUGGCGGGGACCCUGGGGGGUCCCGGGACCCUCCUGCUCCGCCGUCGCGACCAGCCCAACUGGCCCUGACAUUUCUCCUGGUGAGCCGAGCCAAGCUCCGAAACAAAAUCAGCGUCUUUAUGUCCCCCGGGGAGGGUUUUUUUCUGAUAUAUGGCUGCCCGGGGCUUCUGCCUCCUACUUCAUCCUGUUCGUCCGCUGACAAUUUACAAGUUCAGUGCGCACACACACACACACACGCACGUAUACCUGUGUAUGUAUAGAUGACACAUAUGACAGUUUUGUAAUUAAUUUCACGAUACCUUUGUGAAACACGUCAUGAAAUACGCCUCAUACUCAUGAGGUACGUUAUAGAUACAUUAUUUGUAAUUCGAAAUUGUAUAUACAGUUCUGCAUACUGUAGAAUGUAUUUCAAAGUAAAUGUAUGUAUAUAUUUAAUGUAAACAUACGUUUUCAACUAAAUUUGGUGUAUAUAAUGAGGCAAAUUAGGUUUUUAAAUGAGAAUUGGAAUUAUAAAAGUGGCAUAUUCGUAUGACAGACAAUUACAGGUAUCUUAGAUGGACAGAGUAGGUG